GACGAACGCUGGCGGCGUGCCUAAUACAUGCAAGUCGAACGCAGUGGGGACGGGUGAGUAACACGUGGGUAACCUCCCAUCAGAGGGGAUAACACUUGGAAACAGGUGCUAAACCUAUACUGAUUGCUGGACCCUGGGUGCAUUAGCGAGUUGGUGCGGUACCGGCUCACCAAGGCCACGAUGCAUGGCCGACGUGAGAGGAUGAGCGGCCACACUGGGACUGAGACACGGCCCAGACUCCUACGGGAGGCAGCAGAAGGGAAUCUUCGGCAAGGGACGAAAGUCUGACCGAGCAAAGCCGCGGAAGGGAAGAAGGUUUUCGGAUCGUAAAACUCUGUUGGUAGAGAAGCGGUAUCUAACCAGAAAGCCACGGCUAACUACGUGCCAGCAGCCGCGGUAAUAC
rnacentral:rRNA from 1 species